AGAAAAUAGGGAGGGGUGGAGCUAGAGGGCCCUCAGGAGCUCGGGGGCCCAUGUUCUUUGAACCCUUCCACUCAAUUAUAGCUAUGCCCCUGUGCCUGGCCAAUUGUUGCCUGGCCUGCCACUGGUGGGCCAUUGUUUGUUCCAUUCUCCUCCUUGAUACUCCAGUCCCAGCUGCCUUAUUUCCUCAAUGUGCAGUAACAGGUUGCUCAGUAUCGGGGUACUAAUCUGUAGCCACUGAGAGCAACAGAUAAAAAGCAGGAAGAAAAAGUUCACAAGGCAGAGGCUCACUAAACUGAUCAGAAGGUUUCAGCAGGCCUGUAUGGCCCAUGGGCUAACCUGUUGGGAACCAGGGAGUGACUUAGUGUAUGAGACAGCAGAGCUUACAAUUUGCCUUUCUUUCUCCUUACAGCACUUCAACCCCUUUAAACACAUAACUGGCAGAAAUUCAUCAGAUAAAGCUUUCCCAAUCACUUGCAUUUGUGUGAAAAGCUCUGCUUGUGGAAUUUCUGCCUGUCAUCCAGCUGUUAAAAGCACAGAGCUUGGUUAGAGAAAGCAGGUGGCAGUUCAACUCAUGGGAAGAUGAGUCUGAAGUAAUAAUUGGGGUGGGUGGGAAUUAAUUACACUCAGUACUGGAUGGGAUCCAAAGUGACAAGGUGAUCAGUGGCUUAGGUUGCCUAGCUGCUGGUAGGACCUGGAAUACACCUUUCACCGGGAAAAGGAAUGGGGGAUAAUGUUAACUGAAGGCCCAUUGCCUUAUGCCCCACUAAGCCCUGAAACCACACCAUAAAAUAUCCAGUUGGGGUUAGGUUUUAUAAGAUAUUUGAAGAACUGGGAUAGGCUAAGCUGAGGUGGUAGUUUCGUAAGGCUAUAAAGAAGUGUGCUGUUCCCACGGUAACAAGAAUUCCCCUCAUUUAUGUGAUCUGGUAGCUAAGAUAUCUGUAAGUAAUAUCUGUAAUAUCCCCAAGCCCUCACCCCCUCCCUUUUCAUUUUAAGUUCCUGGAUCCUACAAGGCUGGCUAGCUUACUCCUUGUUUGCGCAGGAGUGAGAACUUUGCUUUCUGAAGACUAAGGGCCAGCCCGGAGGGCAGGGCACUGCUUAUGUUGUUGAUACAGGCUUUGGAUGACAUAGGGAAAUGACUCUCAUUUCCAUUUCAGUGAGAGUUCAAACAAACAAACAAUGCAAUACCCUCCUAUCACAUUAGUCUAGGAUCAGGCCCUGACAGGAUAACCCAUCUCCUUUGGAGGGUGGAAGGCGAGAAAGAAAGACAAGCACAAAACUGCUGCCCACGGACUCCUUUGCUCCCAACACCUGAGAUCCUGUUCAGAGAAGAGAGAACCUAUGGGCAAGUGAAGGGGCUGCAGGAUCAGACAGCUUGCUUCUGUGAGGACUAGAAAUGGACACCACUGAUAAAACUACAGGCAACCAGGUCACAAUUGGACAAAUGACCAAGGAAACACAGUAUGAGAACAAAAAAAAUAGCAGGGACUAGCUUGGCUAGCUUGGAGAAAAGGACCCGUGAUCUUGAAAUCUCAUCACUCCCUAUGUUAAUGAAAUGUUGAUCCCAGUUUUCAAUCCUGAGGGUUCCUCAGAUGAGGAUGCUCUCUCUGGGCUAAGACCUGAAGAAAAGGAAUGUCUGGAGUUCUUGCUGCAAACAAUUGAAAACUUGGAUGGGGAUCUCUUAGAAGCUGAUGAAGAAGGGAGUCCAGAGAAAACAGCAGGAUCUUUAGGUGCAGAAGACCAAUGCAACAUCAGUGUUGGCUCCAGCACACAGCAAAGUGGAUUUGCAGAGGCAGCCACAGCCAAGCCUGGUCCCGGUCCAAUGGUUUCUAAGGUUAAAAUGACCCUUUCAGAAGAAUCUGGUUCCCAGUGCAGGCCUGACUCUUUCUGCCCGAAAGCAAAAGGGCCUGCUAGAUUAGGAGACUCUCACCCUGCUCACUUCAGGAAGUUUGACACAAUAAUGAGGUCUGGGGUCAAUGUUCAGGAACUUCGCUCUCGCUUUCUCCUCCACCUUGAGAGUCCUGCUGCUGUCAAGGGCCCAAUGGAGGCUGCUGCUGCUGCCUUUAGGGAACCCACGCUGCUGCCUGCAGGCCAAAAGUCCCCUAGGGAUGAAGCGCUGCAAAAACUGGGACUGCUCCAGAGAAACGCAAGUUUUCCAAAUACAAGUCGUCAUCUGAUGCCCAUGGCAACUCAGCAGGGCUGGAAUUUACCUGUUGAAGGGCUAGAAUGUGAGGCAGUUCCAAGCUCCAUCAGUAACCCUGGAGAGUUUGUCCAUGCACACACAACCGUCACUGUUCAGAAACAGGGGCUUCCUCAAUAGGAACUGAUCACCAGGAAGUGCUAAGAAAACCCGGACUUUUCUGGUAUUGAACAAAAACUCCUAAUUUCUUCCUUCGCACACUAAACUGCUUUCUGUGAGAAAAUCCAUUAUUGCACACAGAGCCAAACCAGUCAGCUGCAGCAUACAAUGUAUGGCAGCAUAUUUGGUAUUGUUACAUGCCCAUUCCUCACUUCCCCAAGUGGGGAGAAGUUCCAGGGGUGCAGUGCUAUUCAAGUUCUGGCUUGGAGAAUUGAUCACUGGGGGCUUAUGGUGACUUUGUAAUAUUUGGUUUGUUUACAAAUAUAGAAGCAUGAGAUGGAGCUGAAAUAGCACAGCACUCUUCUAUAAGUCAGUAACAGGUUAGAUCAGUUUCCUGGGAGUAACCCUACACCAUAAGGCAGGGGUUUUCAAUUGGGGUACUUGAACCCCUGGGGGUAUUCUGAAACCUUGUAGGGGGUACACGGAACCCCACCCCACCCCUCUCUGACUCACUUGCAUGCUACAUCAUUGGCUCCCUCCAUGGGGGGAGGGGAGGAGUGUCAGGCAGUAUCCCUCCUUCCACAUGACUGGCAAUGUGCUCAGGCUCAGCUCACCCCAACCGCAGCGUGGCUGACAGGCUCAGUAAUGAGGAAAAUGCUGGCGUAUGCUCAGUAUCAGCAUUGCCCUUGCUGUGGAGCCUGUCAGUCAGGCUGAGUGAUGGAUGGGCUGAGCCUGUGUGCCUAGCUAGCCAAUCACAUAGAGAGGAGGAGGAAGAGGCAUGGCCAGGUCAAAGGUAUGUUGUGGAGACCUGGCCAUGAGGUGCUGGAGAAUGGGAGGAGGAAGCCACGCCAUGGAGUGAAGGGUAUGGUGGUUUUUGUUUGUUUUGCCUGAUCCCACAGUAGAUUCACUUAGCUUGUAUUUUAUUUCCCACCAACCUUGACAAGAUUUACUUCUUGCCAAAGGUCACAAUUCUUGGCUGCCUAUAUGGGGUAUCUGAGCUGAACCUUUCAGACAGAAGGGGAACACUUGGGUUUUUGUUUUGGUUUUUUUUAAAGGUUGGAAACCCCUGCCCUAAGGUGUUUUAUCAACCUGUUCAGCUCCUCCACUCCAGGCUCUUCCAAAACUCACUCACUCCCUUUCCCUCCCUCCCUCCCUUUCAGCUUGAAAACUGCUAGUUCUCUGCACUGAGCACUUAAGACUCCCCUGAAUCUCACACCAGCCCCUCCCAUCUGGUGAAAGAUACAUGUGCCUUGUGAGACUUUUAAUGGCUUUGCCCUUCUGGAUACUGCAUAGCCAUCAAUGCCACAUUCCGGAAUAUCCAGGGUCCCCCAGAAUUAUUAGCUAGUUCUUCGCUUAACAAAUAGCAUUCCUGGCUGGAGACUCACUGCAGUAUUUAUACAUGGUGAUUUCUGCUAGGAGCAGCUCCCUGGUAGUUGGUUAAGAUUAAUUCUGACAGGUAUUUGAUUUCAUUGCUAGACAUCAUAAUGUUGCUUCUUGAAUUCCUAGCACUCACUCUGCUCUCUUUAAUCUCUUGAGCACAUACACUAUCAGCUCCCUUACUUCAAGAAUUAUUUGCUAGCAUUCCAAUUCAGUGAAAAGAAUACUGGUGUGUUCUGUUCUUCAUUGCAGGGUAUAGAGGCAAAAUAAUUGCACCCAAAGAAAUUGUCUUCUGAUAUGCUCUUAUAUGGGUUAGGGUUUGGCUCAAGGGAGACUCUAAUACUAAUUGGAAUAUAUGGGUUCCCUGCAAGGCGGAGAACAAAAGGAAAGGAAAGCUUUGUUGGUUCCCCUAGUUCUAUGUAUGUGAAUAUAUAAAUUUGUUAAAAACCUGAGCUCUUCUUUUGGACCUAGUGUGGUCUAACCCAAUUAAAUCUGAACAACACUUCACCAUUCCAUCUUAAGGCUUUAAACAGCAGAUUCUCUGGAGCUUUUUAUCAGCCCAGCAGCAUGUUUAUCUUUCCCUAUCUUUUGUGUGUGUGUUUGGGGUUUUUUUGCUUAGUGUCCGGUCUGAAGAGGAGUUCUGAAGAAAUCUUGCUCACGAUUUCAGAUGUUUAAAUUGGUCCCAAUAAAGCUAUUAUGCUACUA